GGACAUAGGCUCUGGUAGAGUGGUAGUCUGUACUCUGUAGAUGCUUUUCAUGGCUGUCCUAAUCUGUCUCAGUUGUAUGUUAUAACCUCGUGUAAAAAAUUAAAGAUAGUGAUUUAGAUUAAUAUUUUCCUUUGAAUAGACUUACAUAAUUUGAUCAUUCAAUUCGUGUGCAAUAUUUUUGAAUGCCGCUCAAAACAAACUGCAGCGACUUCCAACAGCAAGGGAUCCCUUCGUAGAAGACUAUGAUGGAGGGAGAAGAAAAGCGGCAGUGUUUCUUCAGACUUUCUUUCGGCGCCAGUUUUACAGGAACUAUAUUUGCAGAUAUUGAAACCUUAAGUAUAGUGGAGGAGUGUUGCAUUCAACUUGGAGUGAAUUUAUGGGAGUUGUUCUCAUUGCCCCAGUGAUAAGUCGAAGACUAUGAUUUUGAAUGACAUCCAAUUUGUGAAGCAGUUGGUUAUUUGAAGCAAAACAAAAGAAACUGUA